CAGCACCACGCCACAUUACCACUGCAAGCCACCAACCAUCCGUUUCGUUUCGAGUUUUAUCGCAUCGCCUCGCCUCGUCGUCGUCGUCGUUGCUUGAACCCGAUUUGAUUUUUUCGUUGCAUUACUCUAAAAUCGAUUUUAGAGAGAUCGUGUGGCCAUCGCGCGCAUCGGUCAUUGGACAUGUACACACUUUCUGGCCUAUUUGCAAUGAAAAAACUCAAGUAAAUUAAAUAUGCUUAAGAUGAUAGUGGCAUAUUAUAAUUUAUUAUAGCCAAAAGCCAGGAACAAGAGAGGAGAAAAACAAUUUUUAUUUUUGCUUCCGCGACCAUGAAAAGCGAUUUUGUAUUUGUUUCGGUACUCGAAACGUAUCGAGGUACACAAGAC